rnacentral:rRNA from 1 species
AGUACCUGAAACCGUGUGCUGACAAGCUGUAGGAGCCCGCAAGGGUGACUGCGUGCCUUUUGCAUUAUGAUCCGGCGAGUUACUGAUCACGUGCCAGGUUAAGGCCUUAAGGGCUGGAGCCAGAGCGAAAGCGAGUCUGAAUAGGGCGUAUGUACGUGGUCGUAGACCCGAAGCCGUGGCGAUCUACCUUUGGGCAGAAUGAAGCCGCCGUAACAGGCGGUGGAGGUUCGAACUGAUGUGGGUUGAAAACCGCUCGGAUGACCUGAGGGUAGGGGUGAAAGGCCAAUCAAGCUCGGAGAUAGCUGGUUCUCCCCGAAAUAUAUUUUGGUAUGGCCUCGAGAAAUGAGUUCCUGGGAGGUAGAGCUACUGGAUGGGUCCGGGCCGCGUCAGCGGUACCUCCCCCAACCAAUCUCCGAAUGCCCAUGGAAUGCUGCUCGGGAGGCAGUCGCGGUGCGCUAAUGUACUGCUGCGAGAGGGAAAGAACCCAGAACGACUGCUAAGGUCCCGGAGUGGUGGCUCAGUGUAGCAAAGGAUGUGAUUUUGCUGUGACAACUGGGAGGUUGGCUUAGAAGCAGCCAUUCCUUUAAAGAGUGCGUAAUAGCUCACCAGUCCAGCGAGAUUGCGCCGAUAAUGGUCGGGACUUAAGCCACCCACCGAAGCAUCGUCUUCACACUAUGUGUGAGGGGUAGGGGAGCGUUCCCAUAGCGACGAAGCAGGGGCGGAAGCCUUCCUGUGUAGCGGUGGGAAGUGAGAAUGCCGGAUUAAGUACGCGAGAAACAGAGUGAAAACCUCUGUCCCCGUAAGCCUAAGGUUUCCUGAGCCAUGUCGAUCAGCUCAGGGUUAGUCGGUCCCUAAGGUGAGGCCGAGAGGCGUAGCUGAUGGGAAACAGGUCAAUAUUCCUGUACCAACUGUUGGCCGUUUGAGUUCGAGGAGGGACGCAGGAGCAAGGUUUCCGACGGAUUGUGGUUAUGCCGUUGCAAGGUGGUAGACGUUUCCAGGUAGGCAAAUCCGCUUGGAUAGUCGAGAACCGAUGCCGAAGGGGCCUCACCGCCCCGCAAAGGGAAGCUGACGCACGCUGCCGAGAAAAGCUUCGCGAACGAGGACUGCAGUUGACCGUACCGUAAUCCGACACAGGUAGGCGAGGCGAGUAGCCUAAGUGGCUCGAGUGAUUUACGGAAAAGGAACUCGGCAAAAUGACCCCGUAACUUCGGGAUAAGGGGUGCCAGUAGUAGCUGACCUAAUCAAGGGAAGGCGAGGCUGGCCGCAGAGAAUCGUCUCAAGCGACUGUUUAGCAAAAACACAGGAGCGUGCUAAGGCAUUGUCCAAGCCUACGUAUACGCUCUGACUCCUGCCCGGUGCCGGAAGGUUAAGGCAAGUCGUCAGCCGCAAGGCGAAGCGAUGAACCGAAGCCCCGGUAAACGGCGGCCGUAACUAUAACGGUCCUAAGGUAGCGAAAUUCCUUGUCGGGUAAGUUCCGACCUGCACGC